rnacentral:rRNA from 1 species
GAUGAACGCUGGCGGCGUGCCUAAUACAUGCAAGUCGAGCGAACAGACGAGGAGCUUGCUCCUCUGACGUUAGCGGCGGACGGGUGAGUAACACGUGGAUAACCUACCUAUAAGACUGGUAUAACUUCGGGAAACCGGAGCUAAUACCGGAUAAUAUAUUGAACCGCAUGGUUCAAUAGUGAAAGACGGUUUUGCUGUCACGUAUAGAUGGAUCCGCGCCGCAUUAGCUAGUUGGUAAGGUAACGGCUUACCAAGGCAACGAUGCGUAGCCGACCUGAGAGGGUGAUAGGCCACACUGGAACUGAGACACGGUCCAGACUCCUACGGGAGGCAGCAGUAGGGAAUCUUCCGCAAUGGGCGAAAGCCUGACGGAGCAACGCCGCGUGAGUGAUGAAGGUCUUCGGAUCGUAAAACUCUGUUAUUAGGGAAGAACAAAUGUGUAAGUAACUAUGCACGUCUUGACGGUACCUAAUCAGAAAGCCACGGCUAACUACGUG